rnacentral:rRNA from 1 species
CCUUACCCCAAACCGACUCAGGUGGUCAGGUAGAGAAUACCAAGGAGAUCGAGAGAAUCAUGGUUAAGGAACUCGGCAAAAUGCCCCCGUAACUUCGGGAGAAGGGGGGCCUGAGGCGUGAAGGGAUUUACUCCUGGAGCGUUUGAAGGCCGCAGAGACCAGUGGGAAGCGACUGUUUACUAAAAACACAGGUCCGUGCUAAGUCGCAAGACGAUGUAUACGGACUGACGCCUGCCCGGUGCUGGAAGGUUAAGAGGAACGGUUAGCCGCAAGGCGAAGCUGAGAAUUUAAGCCCCAGUAAACGGCGGUGGUAACUAUAACCAUCCUAAGGUAGCGAAAUUCCUUGUCGGGUAAGUUCCGACCUGCACGAAUGGCGUAACGACUUCCCAGCUGUCUCAACCGUGAACUCGGCGAAAUUGCACUACGAGUAAAGAUGCUCGUUACGCGCAGAAGGACGGAAAGACCCCGUGACCUUUACUAUAGCUUUGUAUUGGUGUUCGGUGUGGCUUGUGUAGGAUAGGUGGGAGACUUUGAAGCUUGGACGCUAGUUCAGGUGGAGUCAUUGUUGAAAUACCACUCUGGUCACUCUGGAUAUCUAACUUCGGACCGUAAUCCGGUUCAGGGACAGUGCAUGGUGGGUAGUUUAACUGGGGCGGUUGCCUCCCAAAAAGUAACGGAGGCGCCCAAAGGUUCCCUCAACCUGGUUGGUAAUCAGGUGUCGAGUGUAAGUGCACAAGGGAGCUUGACUGUGAGACUGACAAGUCGAGCAGGGACGAAAGUCGGGACUAGUGAUCCGGCAGUGGCUUGUGGAAGCGCUGUCGCUCAACGGAUAAAAGGUACCUCGGGGAUAACAGGCUGAUCUUGCCCAAGAGUCCAUAUCGACGGCAUGGUUUGGCACCUCGAUGUCGGCUCGUCGCAUCCUGGGGCUGGAGUAGGUCCCAAGGGUUGGGCUGUUCGCCCAUUAAAGCGGUACGCGAGCUGGGUUUAGAACGUCGUGAGACAGUUCGGUCCCUAUCCUCUGCGCGCGCAGGAAAUUUGAGAAGAGCUAUCCCUAGUACGAGAGGACCGGGAUGGACGAACCUCUGGUGUGUCAGUUGUUCCGCCAGGAGCACCGCUGAUUAGCUACGUUCGGAACGGAUAACCGCUGAAAGCAUCUAAGCGGGAAGCCGGCUUCAAGAUGAGAUUUCCAUGACUUCGGUCGAGAGGCUCCCAGCUAGACUACUGGGUUGAUAGGCAGGAUGUGGAAGCGAGGACUAAAGACUCGUGGAGCUGACCUGUACUAAUAAGCCGAUAAAUUGAUC